UCUUUUACUGGUAAAAAUGACAGAUUGCAACCGAACCCUAAUAAAACUUAUUAUAUUAUAUUAUUAUUUAUUUUUUCCACUUUUUAUUUUUGCAUCUCAGCAAAAGCAAAUUUCAGCGGUUUCCAGUCCAGGACGGACGGGCGGAUGGACAGACAGACAGACAAAUAUGGCGAAACUAUAAGGAUUCCUAGUUGACUACGAAAUACUAAAAUAAGCGCCAAAUUUGAAACAUGGGCGAAGGUUUAUUGUGCCAUAGAAAAUUUGAAUUAGGCGCCUUUUUUAAACGACAGUAUUUGCUUGGCCAUAAUUUUCUUUAAAUAAUUUUAUUAAUGUAAAUGUUGCAAAUAAUUGUGAAAAUAAAGUUAUCGAAUAAUAAUACUAAAGCCUGACCAGAAAUAUAUGACUAUUAUUGUCAAGAGGGCGCUGUUUAUUCUGAUGUAUGGGGUGACAUUGCAGUUUAGUAUGAAGAAUAGUUCUCAUAUUAUAUUUCUCUCUUUAUUAGGCUCUCAGGCUUUAUCAAUCUAUGACUUUCGAGCCAAUUCGUCACUACUUUUAAAAAAUUUCGUAUCUCACGCUGUUCCUCAAAGUUAAAACGCAGUAAGUCUAUAUGCAUUCCAUACAUACUUACUACAAUUUUCUUUUCAUUGAUAGACGAAGAUAUGAGUUUUUUUUUAAAGUAGUGACGAAUUAUUUAUGUCUCCUGAUUUUUAGGACACGUGUCUUCUGAUUUUAUUCAAAUUGGACCUGGCAACACUGAAAUAAUGUCAGAAUCUUUUCUUUGACAUUAUUUACAAUUUAUAUUAUUGUACAUAAUUGGUUUUUUCACUAUUCUUAAGCUAAAAAAACACCUGUUUGUCCUCCAAAGAAUACCUUAUUGGAUUCACAGAAUGAUUGAGGAUUUGAGGGAAGCAUGUUAAGACUGUGACAAUAUGGUCUUAAGGCAGCCGGCCUCAUUGAGAACAAGAAAAUAUUCUGCUUCAUGUAGCGGUUGUUAUUUGUUAAUAUGACAUGUCUCGGCAGUGUAGUGACCCUGUGCUUAAUUAAGGCUUCAGGCUCAAAUCAUGGUAAACCAAAAUGUAAGCGGCCGGUUGAAAAAGUAGCAGAGUCGAAAAUGGAAAUUAAUGAGCUGCAGAAGUAAAUUUUAGAAGAAUAAUUCUCUUCUUUGUUGUAUCCUUGUGGCUGAGGGACAUGACGAAUGAGGCCAUUCUUUACCAGUGCUCUUCACGCCACUCAAUCCUGGGCCCGGUGCAUGCUAGCCUGCAGUGGUCUUUGUCAGAGAUGUUAUUGUGUCUGCCCAAUGUGUGCCCAUGCUGCCACUUCUUCACUUCCUUGCCGUGUCCUGUGAUUAUGGGAAUAAUAUGCAAAUAAAAACCAACAAUGGGCCAUCGAAGAACAGGAGAGGGCAUGUGGGCCUUAGAGAAAGAGUUGUUAAUGUGAAGACUAAAUAAAUUCAACAAAUAAAAUCUCAACUAUAAUACUGUCUUUGGUACACCCGCUACCAUCGCGUCAAAUAGUGAAAGUGCAGUUCAGUGUAAGCAAAGACAGUGUACAAGAUAUACCACUCACCUAUGGCAUUAGUGUUACUAGACCACAUUAAUACAUAAAGACUAUUUUUCUAAACUUGUCCAAAAAUUUUAUUAAAAAGGUGUCGGAACGCCUUACAGGUGUCUCGAGGGACCAAAUAGCGGGUUCCUUCUUUGCUCAGAGGUUGAGUCUGGCGGUGCAAAGGGGAAACGCCGCAAGCAUUCUUGGGUCUAUGCCGGAGGCAGGGGAUCUGAGGGGGUUUUUUAUAUUUAGUUAUAACCUGCUUGUGUUAGUUUUAGUCUUUAGGGUUUUAAGAUUUAAUUAUAAGAUUAAAUAUAUUGUUCGUAGUUGUUGUUGAAUAAGCAGUGUUUGUGUGUCUGACUAACGAAAAUAUAAAUUCAGAUUCUAAACGUCUAAACUUGUGUAUAGCUCUGUGUUGUCUUAAUAAAUCCUAUUGGAAACGC